GCCCGGGUGGUGGAAUAGGUAGACACAAGGGACUUAAAAUCCCUCGCCCGUAAGGGCGUACCGGUUCGAGUCCGGUCCCGGGCACCA
rnacentral:tRNA from 1 species